rnacentral:rRNA from 1 species
CAGAGGGUGCGAGCGUUAAUCGGGAUUACUGGGCGUAAAGCGCACGUAGUCGGCUUUGCAAGUCGGGUGUGAAAUCCCCGGGCUCAACCUGGGAACUGCAUCCGAGACCGCAUUGCUAGAGUAUGGGAGAGGGAAGCGGAAUUUCUGGUGUAGCAGUGAAAUGCGUAGAUAUCAGAAGGAACAUCAGUGGCGAAGGCGGCUUCCUGGACCAAUACUGACGAUCAGGUGCGAAAGCGUGGGGAGCAAACAGGAUUAGAUACCCUGGUAGUCCACGCCCUAAACGAUGAGAACUGGAUGUCGGGAGGGUUUGCCUUCCGGUGUCGUAGCUAACGCGUUAAGUUCUCCGCCUGGGAAGUACGGCCGCAAGGUUG